UCCGGUAAUUUGAGCGACGUGGAACCACCCCAUCCCAUUCCGAACUGGGAAGUGAAACGCGUUAGCGCCGACAAUAGCUGUCUCGCAAGGGACCGUGAAGAUAGGUCAUUGCCGGGG
rnacentral:rRNA from 1 species